rnacentral:rRNA from 1 species
UAGUGAACCAGUACCGUGAGGGAAAGGUGAAAAGAACCCCGGGAGGGGAGUGAAAGAGAACCUGAAACCAUAUGCCUACAAGAAGUCAGAGCCCGUUAAAGGGUGAUGGCGUGCCUUUUGUAGAAUGAACCGGCGAGUUACUGUAUGGAGCGAGGUUAAGCAGGAUAUGCGGAGCCGAAGCGAAAGCGAGUCUUAAGAGGGCGAAAGUUGCAUGCAGUAGACCCGAAACCGGGUGAUCUAGCCAUGACCAGGUUGAAGUUGGGGUAAAACCCGAUGGAGGACCGAACCGACCCCCGUUGAAACGUUGGCGGAUGAGUUGUGGCUAGGGGUGAAAUUCCAAUCGAACCCGGAGAUAGCUGGUUCUCCCCGAAAUAGCUUUAGGGCUAGCGUCGAGGUAGAGAGUUGCGUGAAGGUAGAGCACUGAAUAUGUGAUGGCCCCAUCUCGGGGUACUGAGCAUAAUCAAACUGCGAAUGUCACGGAAACAUACUCGGCAGUCAGACAGCGGGUGAUAAGGUCCGUUGUCAAGAGGGAAACAGCCCAGACCAUCAGCUAAGGUCCCAAAAUGUAUGCUAAGUGGAAAAGGAUGUGGAGAUGUACAGACAACUAGGAGGUUGGCUCAGAAGCAGCCAUCCUUUAAAGAGUGCGUAACAGCUCACUAGUCGAAUGACUCUGCGCCGAUAAUUUACCGGGGCUAAGCAUACUACCGAAGCUAUGGAUCCCAAGGGAUGGUAGGGGAGCGUUCCAUGAACGGAGAAGCGCGAUCGAGAGGACGCGUGGAGAUCAUGGAAGAGAGAAUGCCGGUGUGAGUAGCGGAACGUGGGUGAGAAUCCCACGCACCGAAAACCCAAGGUUUCCAGAGGAAGGUUCGUCCGCUCUGGGUAAGUCGGGACCUAAGGCGAGGCCGAGAGGCGUAGUCGAUGGACAACAGGUAGAGAUUCCUGUACUCAUAUAUAUGUGAAGGAAUGACGGAGAGAGGAAGCUGCAGCCAGCGGCUGGAAGAGCUGGUGCAAGCGAGAUAUCGGGAUGGCAGGCAAAUCCACCAUCCGAAACGAGAAGGCGUGAAGCGUACGGAAAGCUAAGGCGAGUACGGAAGGCAGUGGAGGAGCUUCCAAGAAAAGUUUCUAACGAAAGUAUAUGUGACCCGUACCGAAAAUGGACACACAUGGGUGAGGAGAGAAUCCUAAGGUGAGCGAGAGAACUAUAGCUAAGGAACUCUGCAAAAUGACUCCGUAACUUAGGGAGAAGGAGUGCUCAUAGAGAUAUGAGCCGCAGUGAAACGGCCCAAGCGACUGUUUACCAAAAACACAGCUCUCUGCUAAGCCGCAAGGCGAAGUAUAGGGGGUGACGCCUGCCCGGUGCUGGAAGGUUAAGGGGAGGGGUUAACGCAAGUGAAGCCCUGAACUGAAGCCCCAGUAAACGGCGGCCGUAACUAUAACGGUCCUAAGGUAGCGAAAUUCCUUGUCAGGUAAGUUCUGACCCGCACGAAAGGCGUAACGAUUUGGGCGCUGUCUCAGCUGUAGACUCGGUGAAGUCUUAGUACCUGUGAAGAUGCAGGUUACCCGCGACUAGACGGAAAGACCCCAUGGAGCUUCACUGCAGGUUGAUAUUGGGAUUUGAUGCAGCAUGUACAGGAUAGGUAGGAGGCAAAGAGAUGGAUACGCCAGUAUUCAAGGAGCCGCUGUUGGGAUACUACCCCUGUUGUAUUGGAUUUCUAACCGGACGACGUAAAGCCGUUGACGGGACAGUGUCAGUCGGGCAGUUUGACUGGGGCGGUCGCCUCCCAAAGAGUAACGGAGGCGCCCAAAGAUACCCUCAGCUUGGAUGGAAACCAAGCGCAGAGUGCAAAGGCAAAAGGGUGUUUGACUGCGAGACCUACAAGUCGAGCAGGGACGAAAGUCGGGCUUAGUGAUCCGGCGGUGCUGAAUGGAAAGGCCGUCGCUCAACGGAUAAAAGCUACCCUGGGGAUAACAGGCUGAUCUCCCCCA